AUUUUCUCACUGCUUCCUACUAAAGGACGGACAGAGCAUUUGUUCUUCAGCCACAUACUUUCCUUCCGCUGGCCAGCAUUCUCCUCUAUUAGACUAGAACUGUGGAUAAACCCCAGAUGUGAAUUUCUUCAAAGUAAGAAAUCCUCAGAGGAAAUUACCCAGUAUAUUCAAAGCUACCAGGGAUUUGUUGACGUAACGGGAGAACAUUUUGUGAAUUCCUGGGUCCAGAGAGAAUUACCUAUGGCAUCAGCUUAUUGCAAUGACAGCAUCUUUGCUUACGAAGAACUACGGCUGGACUCUUUUAAGGACUGGCCCCGGGAAUCAGCUGUGGGAGUUGCAGCACUGGCCAAAGCAGGUCUUUUCUACACAGGUAUAAAGGACAUCUUCCAGUGCUUUUCCUGUGGAGGGUGUUUAGAGGAAGGUGAUGACCCAUUAGACAAUCACACCAGAUGUUUUCCCAAGUGAGUGAAAUGAAUGUUAACCAUCUGCGACUUUGGAUGCACUUCAACAUUUUUUUUUUCCUCAUUUCCUGCCUUAUUUUAUCUUUAGAUUGAGUCUUUAUCCACUUUUCUGAUUCAGGCUAUGAAGGAUGAGUCUUCAUGUCUUUCAUCCCUUUGCUCCAUGACCCCCUUCCUGUACUAGCCUUCGCCUCUUUAUAGUUAUGGCAUAGUUUUGGCUAGAUUCAUAUUUUCACAUUACAUGUUUACAUUAUCAUGACUAUAUAAAUGCUAAGCGGAGCUGAAGCUUGUGGUAAAUUUUUAUUUAUUUUCCCUUCCUGUACAUCCUUUUAUUUUUUUAAGAAGUAAUAACGGUCCUGUUAGUAUGUUUGCUUAUUUUUUUUUUCCUGAGGUAAAAUUCACAUAGUAACCAUUUUAUUUAUUUAUUUAUUAUUUUUUGUAACAGGGUCUCUCUCUUCCCCAGGUUGGAGUGCAGUGGUGCAAUCACGGCUCACUGCAGCCUUGACCUCUCUGGCUCAAGCAGUCUUCCUCGCUCAGCCUCCCAAGUAGCUGGGACUACAGGCACGUGUCUCCACACCCAGCUAAUUUUUUUUUUU
rnacentral:sRNA from 1 species